rnacentral:rRNA from 1 species
AAUCAAACCGGGAGAUAGCUGGUUCUCCCCGAAAGCUAUUUAGGUAGCGCCUCGUGAAUUCAUCUCCGGGGGUAGAGCACUGUUUCGGCUAGGGGGCCAUCCCGGCUUACCAACCCGAUGCAAACUGCGAAUACCGGAGAAUGUUAUCACGGGAGACACACGGCGGGUGCUAACGUCCGUCGUGAAGAGGGAAACAACCCAGACCGCCAGCUAAGGUCCCAAAGUCAUGGUUAAGUGGGAAACGAUGUGGGAAGGCCCAGACAGCCAGGAUGUUGGCUUAGAAGCAGCCAUCAUUUAAAGAAAGCGUAAUAGCUCACUGGUCGAGUCGGCCUGCGCGGAAGAUGUAACGGGGCUAAACCAUGCACCGAAGCUGCGGCAGCGACGCUUAUGCGUUGUUGGGUAGGGGAGCGUUCUGUAAGCCUG